rnacentral:rRNA from 1 species
AGAGUUUGAUCAUGGCUCAGAUUGAACGCUGGCGGCAGGCCUAACACAUGCAAGUCGAGCGGUAACAUUUCUAGCUUGCUAGAAGAUGACGAGCGGCGGACGGGUGAGUAAUGCUUGGGAAUAUGCCUUAGGGUGGGGGACAACAGUUGGAAACGACUGCUAAUACCGCAUAACGUCUACGGACCAAAGGGGGCUUCGGCUCUCGCCCUUAGAUUAGCCCAAGUGGGAUUAGCUAGUUGGUGAGGUAAUGGCUCACCAAGGCGACGAUCCCUAGCUGGUUUGAGAGGAUGAUCAGCCACACUGGAACUGAGACACGGUCCAGACUCCUACGGGAGGCAGCAGUGGGGAAUAUUGCACAAUGGGCGCAAGCCUGAUGCAGCCAUGCCGCGUGUGUGAAGAAGGCCUUAGGGUUGUAAAGCACUUUCAGUAAGGAGGAAAGGUUAGUAGUUAAUAC